CCCCCACCAGAUUGUCACCUCCUGAUCUGAGUUACUGCCUUAGUAACUUGCUUUGUAACUCAGAUCAGGCGGUGAUGGAGCCGUUUGACCCUUACUCGUGGUGGUUUUCACGUGAUGAUAGAACAAUGUUCGUGUUGUUGUCUUCGCUAUAGUUCUUGUUUGUGGGUUGAUAGUCAUGAUACUUUAGGACCUUAUUGGGAAGUUGCUUCUCGACUGAAGCCUACUGCACCCCUCUUUCCAUUACUGAAGUCAACCAGUUUCUCUUCCACGCGAGGCCU
rnacentral:lncRNA from 1 species